AUUGAACGCUGGCGGCAGGCCUAACACAUGUCAGUCGAACGAGUGGCGGACGGGUGAGUAAUAUCUGGGAAACUGCCUGAUGGAGGGGGAUAACUACUGGAAACGGUAGCUAAUACCGCAUACCAUCAGAUGUGCCCAGAUGGGGUUAGCUAGUUGGUGGGGUAACGGCUCACCAAUGCGUCGCUCCCUAGCUGGUCUGAGAGGAUGACCAGCCACACUGGAACUGAGACACGGUCCAGACUCAUACGGAAGGCAGCAGUGGGGAAGAUUGCACAAUGGGCGCAAGCCUGAUGCAGCCAUGCCGCGUGUAUGAAGAAGGCCUUCGGGUUGUAAAGUACUUUCAGCGGGGAGGCGUUACCCGCAGAAGAAGCACCGGCUAACUCCGUGCCAGCAGCCGCGGUAAUUC
rnacentral:rRNA from 1 species